CCUACGGGUGGCAGCAGUCGAGAAUCAUUCACAAUGGGGGAAACCCUGAUGGUGCGACGCCGCGUGGGGGAAUGAAGGUCUUCGGAUUGUAAACCCCUGUCAUGUGGGAGCAAAUUAAAAAGAUAGUACCACAAGAGGAAGAGACGGCUAACUCUGUGCCAGCAGCCGCGGUAAUACAGAGGUCUCAAGCGUUGUUCGGAAUCACUGGGCGUAAAGCGUGCGUAGGCUGUUUCGUAAGUCGUGUGUGAAAGGGGCGGGCUCAACCCGCGGACGGCACAUGAUACUGCGAGACUAGAGUAAUGGAGGGGGAACCGGAAUUCGCGGUGUAGCAGUGAAAUGCGUAGAUAUCGAGAGGAACACUCGUGGCGAAGGCGGGUUCCUGGACAUUAACUGACGCUGAGGCACGAAGGCCAGGGGAGCGAAAGGGAUUAGAUACCCGGGUAGUC
rnacentral:rRNA from 1 species